rnacentral:snRNA from 1 species
GGAUGUGAGGACGAUCUGGCUUUUAUACCUGUCACCCCAUUGAUCUCCAGGGUAGGUACCCCAUCGCUAGGUAGAUGUCCCCUUGCGCCCUCAACACUCCAUGUGUGUCCCUCCUGAAGCUGUGUGCUCGGUAGAGGAGGAUGACCUUUGCAAUAGAGGGGGAGCUUUCUUUGACCAAGGGUAUCCCAGUAGCUGUGCUUCCCUGCUAAAACUCCAAACAAUCCUUCAGGGUCCAAAACUAAUAAUGAAGUUUAAAAAAAAAAAAAAGGUUGUUAAAAUAAAAAAAAAAUCUUCUCUUACAAAGAUUAUGUCUAGUUU